rnacentral:lncRNA from 1 species
GUGGGUCCAUUAGUGGCAAAUGGUAGUAAAUAUAGGAAAAGAAGUAGAGUAAAAAAGUACAAAAAAUAGAAUAGGGCUUUAAUUUGUGGACAAAAAUUUAAGAGCAAGUAGGGCAUUAAAUUGUGGACGGAUGGAGUAUUUAACAAUUCAUGGAUUCCAUUAUCAUAAUUACUACAUUUACCACAAUAGAUAUAUCAAAUUGAUACAACACAUAAUUAAUAUUAAAAUAAAAAACACACACAAAUAAAGGUAAAAAAAAAACUAAAAAAGAGCAAGAAAACAGGAAAAAGAGAAUAAAAAACGAUAAUUUUAAAGAAAGAACAAACAAUUGAAAAAAUGGGAGAACUUUUCGAAAAAAGAAUUAAAAACUACUUUUGUAGCCGUAGAACACGCCCACGAGCCGCACAAUAGGCGCGUACAUUGCACACGCUCUAGUUAUGCGUGUUGGACAAUAAUUGUAGCUCACACGCUCGUCCUAUCUCCUUCUCAGUGGGGCCCAUCUUUGUAGUUAUUACCCAGGUAGCAAUUUUGUUACUUUACGAAAAAUUACUAUCCC